rnacentral:rRNA from 1 species
CCCAGACUCCUACGGGAGGCAGCAGUGGGGAAUAUUGCACAAUGGGGGAAACCCUGAUGCAGCGACGCCGCGUGAGCGAAGAAGUAUUUCGGUAUGUAAAGCUCUAUCAGCAGGGAAGAAAAAAAUGACGGUACCUGAGUAAGAAGCACCGGCUAAAUACGUGCCAGCAGCCGCGGUAAUACGUAUGGUGCAAGCGUUAUCCGGAUUUACUGGGUGUAAAGGGAGCGUAGGCGGCGCGUUAAGUCUGAUGUGAAAACCCGAGGCUCAACCACGGGAGUGCAUUGGAAACUGGCGGGCUGGAGUGCCGGAGAGGUAAGCGGAAUUCCUAGUGUAGCGGUGAAAUGCGUAGAUAUUAGGAAGAACACCAGUGGCGAAGGCGGCUUGCUGGACAGUAACUGACGUUGAGGCUCGAAAGCGUGGGGAGCAAACAGGAUUAGAUACCCCAGUA